UACGUAGGGUGCAAGCGUUAAUCGGAAUUACUGGGCGUAAAGCGUGCGCAGGCGGUUAUGUAAGACAGGUGUGAAAUCCCAGGGCUUAACCUUGGAACUGCAUUUGUGACUGCAUAGCUAGAGUACGGUAGAGGGGGAUGGAAUUCCGCGUGUAGCAGUGAAAUGCGUAGAUAUGCGGAGGAACACCGAUGGCGAAGGCAAUCCCCUGGACCUGUACUGAUGCUCAUGCACGAAAGCGUGGGGAGCAAACAGG
rnacentral:rRNA from 1 species